rnacentral:rRNA from 1 species
GACGAACGCUGGCGGCGUGCCUAAUACAUGCAAGUUGAACGCAACAAAGACACCAGAGCUUGCUCUACCGUCUUUGUUGAGUAGCGAACGGGUGAGUAACGCGUGGGUAACCUGCCUUAUAGCGGGGGAUAACUAUUGGAAACGAUAGCUAAUACCGCAUAACAAUAGAGAUUGCAUAAUCUUUAUUUGAAAGUGCCAACUGGUACACUAUGAGAUGGACCCGCGUUGUAUUAGCUAGUUGGUAGUGUAAUGGACUACAAGGCGAUGAUACAUAGCCGACCUGAGAGGUGAUCGGCCACAUUGGGACUGAGACACGGCCCAAACUCCUACGGGAGGCAGCAGUAGGGAAUCUUCGGCAAAUGGACGAAAGUCUGACCGAGCAACGCCGC